GUUAAAAAGCUCGUAGUUGGAUCAGAGCUGGACAGUGCAAGGUGGCCCCUCGCGGCAGUCAGCUACGGUUGGUUGUCGCGUUGCGGAUCAACCCCUUGCGCCAAACUGUCCACUCUAACAGACCGGAACGGUUCCCUGCGAGUAGACUCCUUAAUUGGGGUUGAAAGCGCCUCGCAUAAACCAUAUGCCUACGGGACGCCGGUCAAUGUUACUGUGAACAAACCAGCGUGUCCAAAGCAGGCUUUCGCCUGAAUGUUCGAGCAUGGAAUAACAAGGGAUCGAUUGUCUCGGUUCUUUUUGUUGGUUUUUAACCUGAGAAGGAGUAAUUCAGGUAACGGUGUCUGAGUUGGGUUUCCCUCUGCUUCGGUGGAGGCCCCAAUUAGGUCGUUGCCUUACGGGAUCAAUAGGGACUGCCGGGGUCGUACGUACUCCUACGUCAGAGGUGAAAUUCUUAGAUCGUAGGAAGACGAACUUCUGCGAAAGCAUUCAACAAGAAUGUCUUCAUUAAUCAAGAACGAGAGUGUGGGGAUCGAAGAUGGUCAGAUACCGUCGUAGUCCACUACUGUAAACAAUGCCGUCUCAGGAUCGAGGGGUGAACUGAAUGACC
rnacentral:rRNA from 1 species